GCAAUGAGUUGUUAUGCUUAUACAUUUGGGUGAAUUAAAUUUUUAUACUCAGUUGACUGAAAAAUUAAGAAUAUAGCAUUGAUAAGUGUAUAAUUAGUUCUCUCUCAUCAACUUUUAUAAGUGUACAAAAAUAUCCUUUCGCAUCUAACAAAUUAUUUAGCGAGAUAAUGAUAUAAGUAUCGGCAAUACUGUUUAUCAAAUACAUAAGUAAAAUUAUGUUAUAAGUUAGAUGAAUAACUAUUUAAUUACCAUGAUAACAAUAUAUAUAUACGUAUAAGUUUAUAAAUAUAUCGUGUUAAAUUGUUUUGUAUCGCGAUAAUUUAUGAUUUGUGUGAUAAGUUUAUAUUUACCGUGUUAAAUCUAAAUCCUAACCACUAUUUUAUCAACCCAAACCGAUAUAUAAUUUCGUUUUAAUUGUAAAAUCUAAACCCUAAUCACUAUUUUAUCAACCCAAACCGAUAUAUAAUUCGUUUUAAUUGUAAAAUCUAAACCCUAACCACUCCUUUAUAAACCCAAACCGACAAAUAAUUUUGUUUUAAUUGUAAAAUCUAAACUCUAACCACUAUUUUAUCAAUCCAAACCGAUAUAUAAUUUUGUUUUAAUUGUAAAAUCUAAACCCUAACCACUAUUUUAUCAAUCCAAACCGAUAUAUAAUUUCUUUUUAAUUGUAAAAUCUAAACCCUAACCACUAUUUUAUCAACCCAAACCGAUAUAUAAUUUCGUUUUAAUUGUAAAAUCUAAACCCUAACCACUCCUUUAUAAACCCAAACCGACAUAUAAUUUUGUUUUAAUUGUAAAAUCUAAACCCUAAGCCCUAUUUAUAAACCCAAACCGUUAUAUAGUUUUGUUUUAAUUAUAAAAUCUAAACAUCAAAAAUAUAUUUAACCAUGUUUAUUAAAAAUAUACAUAUUUUGUUUCCUUAUUAAAGAUAAUUUAUUUGUUAAGAUAAUAUAUUAUUUUUUAAAUGUAUAAUUAUAUUAAUCGCGCUAACUCAGUUAUCAGCUAACUUAUGAUUAUAGGGUUAAAAUUGUCCAGAAAAAGCAAAACUAAUUAUGGAAUUAUCUUUAACAUAUAAUGAAUAAAACUUUUAUCUAGGUACAUACAAUGCAAUUUCCCUAUACAUUUAGGAAUGAAAAACAUUUUAUAUAUCCUCAAAAAAAAAUUAUUAUAUAGAAAAGAAUCACCAAGUGAUUUAAAGUUUCAUAUAUCCUCAAACAUUUUAUUAUAUAUAUAAAAGAAUCACAAAACAUAAUUAAAAUUGUUAAAUUUAACAUACUCAGACUCAAUUUUGAUGGAUCCAAAACUGUGGUCUCCAAAUUUUGGACAUCUUAAAUUUCCAAAAUUUUGAAUUGAAUCUCUUACCAUGAAUAACAAUUUCACCUAGACAUAUAUUUAUACACCAUCCAAUAAAAAACUUUGACCCAAAAAAAAAAAAAAAAUCAUAUAAAUCACCUUUGCUUAAUUUUCAUCAAAAAAUUGAUCUGUUUUCUUUAAUGACUACAACUGAGAUAUGUAAACGAAUUGUCUGUAAUUAAGGUGGAUUUCUGAUAAUUAAUUCAAUUUGCC
rnacentral:lncRNA from 1 species